CGGGACUGGGCCACAUAAGGGAGGAAGGAGAGCUCUUCAAGGGACAAACUCUCUGGGUACAUCUGUGACUUUUACCCCAGGGAGGAGUGAGACUGCGAAGCCUGACAUCUAAGACUAGAUCUGUCUCCUUCUGUUGUCAACAACACAAGCUGUUAGCUUGGCCCUGGGGGUCUUCCUCACCUUUCAGCAAGCUGAAGACCUCUAGAUGUCAAAUCCCCACCGCUGCAGGACAGGAGACUCGUGGGUUGACGCUAACAAGAGUUUGGGCACACGUUGUGCUUCUUGAUUGAAAAUUCGCUAAAGUCCCCGA